AUGCCUCCGCGACCGCCGUGCUGAACGAGCGGGGGCGGCUGCCCUGUGACGUGUCCUCGCAGCUGGCCAAUGACAGGGUCGUCCUCAUCCUGUGGUACCGCGGCUCAACAGGCACUCCGCUGUACAGCUUCGACUCCCGCGGGGAUAAGGCGCCCGACGGUAAGCACUGGUACGACGAGGUGCUGCUGGACAAGCGGGCGUACUUCCAGCUGCUGCCCGGCGGGAACCUGGGCGCCCUGGCGAGCCACGGGGCGUUCCUCGAGGUGUUCCCCGUGCAGGACCGCGACCAGGCCGUCUACAGGUGCCGCGUCGACUUCCUGCUCUCGCCCACCAAGAACACCAUCGUCAACUUCACCGUCAUUAUUCCUCCCAACAAACCCGAGAUCUACAACGCCAACGCAACGCUGCAGCUCGCAGGAGGCAGGAAGGAGGUGAACGUCAUAGGCCCUUUUAACGAGGGAUCGGAGCUCGUCCUGGUGUGCAGAGUGC